AUCAAUAGAUUGUUUUUGUAAAAAAGCCCAUGUUCAGUUUUUGUUCACUUAUUAUAAAGGCUGUGCAGCUGUCAUGUUGGUCAUUGAUUUGAAUAUGAGGGGGUGUGGUUUAAUCUGAGUUCGCGCGAAAGCAGAUCAUAUUUCUUCGGUUCGGAUCCUGAGGGAAAGUUUAGGUCCUGCAAUCUUACCUGUAAAGCAGUGAAAUAAGAUAGAUUAACAUCACUUUCUGCAGCGCCUUCACUUUGUGAACUGCAGAAUAGGAUAUUUGUGCUCUUGAUCGGCAGUGGACGAUAUUAAACUUUGCACUGAAGUUUCCAUGGUGACGAUUCCUGAAUGUGCGUCAUUGAAGAUUAACCACGUUUGAGAGUCAUACAUCAGCGAGAUAAAUAUUCAGUAACAUCUUAGAUUAUACACUGGAAUUUAUCGUCGCUGAGGAUUUACCAUACUUCAGGGCAUGAGACUGCAUCUCAACAUCAACGUCACAAAGCCUUUUGGACACUUUAAAGAACUGUAGAGACCACACGGACUGUUGCAAUCUUUGUUUCACUGCCUAAUCACAGGACCAACUGUCAUCUGUAUCCUUGAAUCUGUUGAAACAAUUCAUUGUUUAUUUCUGUUGAUUAUUUUGCGUAGGCCUACGUUUUAUUUGUACAUUUUCUUUACAUUUGAAUACCUUUUGAUGGUGAAUAUGUACACAGUGUAUUUUAUUGUUCAACAAUAUUCAGAGUAAAAGGUACAAUUUAGUUCAA